AUGAAUAUCCUUGCCUGGAACUGUCGAGGAUUGGGGUUGGACUCGACAGUAGGCGAACUACGUGACCUGAUACGGUCCCGCAACCCAGUGGUGGUUUUCUUGAGUGAAACAAAGAAGAGGGCAGGGGCGAUGGAAAAAUUAAAAUGGAGUUUGGGUUUCAGAAGUGGUGUAGCGGUGAGCUGUGUGGGAAGAAGUGGUGGGCUGGCUCUGUGGUGGAGAGAACAUGUGCAGGUAUCCAUUAGGCCGUGGUGCCAAUAUUUUCUGGACGCGAAAGUGGAGGUAGACGGUAAAACCUUUAGAAUCACUGGAUUCUAUGGGGAACCAGACACUGAGAAGAGGAAAAAAUCUUGGGAUGCAUUAAGAUACCUACGAUCACAAGAUAAUCUCCCGUGGCUUUGUGUGGGUGAUUUUAAUGAAGCUAUGUUCCAAUCCGACCAGCAGGGGGGAAUUUGA
rnacentral:rRNA from 1 species